UUUUAUUAUUUGUUUGUAAACCUACUAUCUCUGUAAACAUUGCAGGUAUGCUCCCAAAGGCCCUGAUGGUGUGUCCAAAAUACUGGUGGGAGGUGACAGGCUCACUGAGGCAAACUGUCGAAACAUACAGUGUGCCUUUGCAGAUGGAAACACCAAUGAAGAGAGGCUUGAAGGCAUGGUGUUCAAGUUUGAGGACUGGCAUGCCAUUCGAGUGCUUUUUGAGAUACACUACAAGGUAUUCUUCAGUGGCAAGUCUGGCAAGGACCAUGGCACGCUGUGUGCCAACAUGACAAAGUUAAGUUGUGACAACGCACAAAAAGAAACACAUUUGCUCCAAUCAUCGUCUUUUGUAAUGUGUUUCAAUAACAAUUGCACCACUUUCCACUAUAGAGUGACCCCCUGCAAAUCGGGUCUAUGAAUUGACAAGUCUGGUGCAGCAAUGCCAAGCAGGGUCCCCGUGCUGACUACAAUGCCUACAAGCACUUCUUCACCACUGACACAACUGCACUUUUCCUAGCGGCUGCUGUGGAUCUCUUUGGGUUAAAAGAUGUUGACGAAAUACCAGAUUCGUUUGUACCAGAGGAAAUACAAUCUGCUGCACCUGACUUAAGGAGAGCCUGGUUACAUGAAAGAACAUCUGAGGUGGUGGACAAGUGCAUCAUGCUUGGGGAUGUGCCACAGGCUGUUGCUGGUGUCACUGAAUCCCCCCGAACUCUACUCAUAAGCAACAUCCAUGUAGAGCUCAUGGUUGUCAACAAAGUUACACCUAUCUCAAAUCCCGAGACAACCAUGAGAUUAAAAAGCAUCACAUACAGAUGUCUUUGACAGAAUUGCAUGAACACACAACAUCUUCCAACCGUGAUCACAAACAAGAACACACCUUGGCGCGGCUUAGCUUUGGGUUCUUUCUCAUGGACAUGUUGGAUGCUGUUAAAGAGGGUGAUGGGGAGAGACUAAUGAGGUUGUACAGGGUAGCCCUACUGUAUUACAAAGCAUACGGUCACAGCCAUUAUGCCUACAGUACCUUUCUACUGACGCUGCAGGUAAACGCAUCUCUGACACCCCACAUGGCACACAGGGUAACCUGGAACAGGUUUUGGAGCACCCGGGGUGGGAAGGGUUGCAACAUACCUCUUGAUCUUCAUCUGGAACACCUGAAUAACUUCCUCAAGUUUUUCCUGAAGGGUCUGGGUCCAAAUUUGUCUGAAGAAGCAGCACGUCGGUCAGUCAGUGCAUUGGUUUUUUUAGAGGAAUGAUGGACAAAGUAGAUGGAGAGUUGGGUGUCAAAAGUCCAACUGGCACCCAUCGUGCUGCACAGCAAGAAACUGAUGUUUUAACACUGGUAGAGGUUUUCAAGGAGGAGCAGUUGUUUAAAGUUAUUCAUGGUAGACAGUUUCAGGCCUUCCCAGGCUUUGAUCAAAAUCUUCUGCGGAUUAAACAAAGAUCUCUGGCAGUGGAUGAACGGAAAACUGAAGGAGUGGAGAAAUCGGAAAAUAUGAAGGGCACACUUUGAAACACUAUAAGGUCUGUAGACA